rnacentral:lncRNA from 1 species
GCAUAAUUUACGUUACUAGAGAAGGGGAAGUAAAGGAGAGGUACUAUUUGUCUGAUGUGUCGAGCCUUUUACACUUGAGUUAAGAGUAUGAGACGUAUGUCCGAUAUUUUUAGAACAGUUGCCUAAUAAGCAAAUUUAGUGAUUGAAGUUUACUAUAGAACCUUGUUGAAAACUCUCAAAUUUUGAAUGAGAUGCUUGAUGACGUCUUGUAGUACCAUUUCAACAUAGAAAAACGAAACAUAUAGAGAAAUAUGAAUAUUGUGUUGUGUUCCUGUGUCUUGAUAUGAAAAGUAGAUGACUUGAGGCCAUGUUUAGCUGGUGGAUUAGGAGAGGAAUAAUUUUUCUCCCGGAUAAUUUUUUUCUCUCGGAGUUUGGCUGACGGAUAUAGAGGUGGAUAAUUUUUUUCUCCCGAUAAUUUUUUUUUCAGCAGGUGGAUAGAGGCGGAUAAUUUUUAGGUAGUCUAGACUCUAACUAAAAGUUAUCCUGGGAUAAGGAGGGGGAGGAUAAGAAAAAAAUAUACAAAGAGAAAUAAAAUGUAUAAUUUGUUUUUAUAUAUAUAGAAAAAAAUAAAAUAUAUAUUUUUAAUAUCAAGAUAUUUUAUAUUUUGUUUUCUCUAUAUAUUUUACUCCUUAUCUCACACUCUUAUUUACACAUUUUAAAAAGUAUCUUAAUAAAGUUAAAAUUUAUUCCCUCUAAAAUUUAUUCUUUCUUUAAAAGUUAUACUCCUUCUAUAUCCUUCAACUAAAUGAGCCUUGGUGUAACGCGAGCGUGAACCCACGCUCGUCUGUGUAACAUAGACUAUCGUUACCCAACGGACCAACGUUGUUGUACUAUCACUCUUUGUCAAUUUAACA